rnacentral:rRNA from 1 species
UGCCAGCCGACGCGGUAAUACGAAGGUCCCAAGCGUUGUUCGGAAUCACUGGGCGUAAAGCGUGUGUAGGCUGCGCGGAAAGUCAAAUGUGAAAGCCCGGGGCUCAACCUCGGAACUGCAUUCGAUACUCCCGUGCUAGAGUAAUGGAGAGGUAAGUGGAAUGCGUAGAUAUUAUGAAGAAUACCAGUGGCGAAGGCGGCCUCCUGGAUCUGUACUGACACUGAGGUGCGAAAGCGUGGGUAGCGAACAGGAUUAGAUA